rnacentral:rRNA from 1 species
GACGGAGGAGGCAAGCGUUAUCCGGAAUUAUUGGGCGUAAAGGGUACGUAGGCGGCUGGUCAAGUCUGGAGUCAAAGGCCACAGGUCAACUGAGGUAAGUCCCUGGAAACUGAGCGGCUAGAGUGAGGUAGGGGUUGCGGGAAUUCCCGGUGUAGCGGUGAAAUGCGUAGAGAUCGGGAAGAACUCCUGAGGCGGAAGCGCUCAACUGGGCCUCAACUGACGUUGAGGUACGAAAGCUAGGGGAGCGAAUGGG